GUGGGGGUCCUCCUCGGGCCUAGACCCGAAAAACUCUGGGGGACGGUAUGUCAGAAAAUCACGAACCCUCAGGCUAUCACGCCUGUCAUCAUCAUCAUCAUCUCUCAGCCCGCGCCUGCGAACCUGUCCCGCUACCAAGGUAGUCAAUAGCUGUACGGCCUCCCUCAACGUCCCAUCCUCCGCCCCUGGCUGAGGAGCUGGAGGCGCGGCCGCUGGAGCCUCUGGAGCUAAUGCGGCUGGUGAUCCAGACUCCUCUGAUGAUGAAGACGUAGCAGAGUCUGUUGGCCGGGACGCAAUAUCACGCAUCAUCUGAGCAAGGGUCCGAGUACCCUUCUGAGCCCGGCUAGUCUCUCCGGCCGCUACUGACUUGCCCUUCUGGGCAGCUGCCGCCUUUUUUGGAGGCAUCAC